GAGAGAGGGAAUUUUAAAGUGUGAAAUAGACUAAGGGGUUUUUUUUUAGCUCCUUCUACAAUGUCAAAAGGGUACGACUAUGACAUGACACCAACAGAGGAAAUUUUUCUGCUGCCACUGCCCUACACGGAAAAAUAAAGGGGAGCAGUGUUGUAGAAUCCACCCUUGUCUAAGCAAAGCUACAGUCUACUCAUUCAACACCCAUCCUUUAUAAUUUCCUUCCAACCUUUCACCUACCUUGGACCAAAUUCACUACUUCUCCUAAUGGAAUGGCUUCAAUCCCUCUUCUUCCCCUUGAAGAAGCUUUGGAAUCGGCUGCACUUGGCUCCCCAAAAACGUAGGGGAAUAUAUAUUCUGUAUGAGGAUGUGAAAUCGUGCUCAUGUGAAGAUGUGCAAGUGCUGUGGUCAUUACUGGUGGAGUCAGACACAGCUUUGUUUUCAAAACAAUGAAGUCUCUAUCACUAGUUCCAUGGAUAUUACCCUAAGAGAGGAGGGAUUAAGGAAAACCUGCAUGUACAUACAUACUUACAGUGCACUCAUGGGGAAGCCAUUUUUCAUGGUCUUGUCUUUCCUCUGAUAUAUGAAGCCAUAUCUUAGUCGUAUGGGAUUCUCAUAUUCCAGGUAUUUUAUUUGAAUAACAGGAGGAAGAUUCUGAUUUCUGUUUACCCCUUUCCAGUUGGUCUAGAGUCUUGCCUGGUGGAAAUUAGGUACCUUAUUGAUAUGCACUUCUUGGAAUGCAACCUGUAGAGAUUGGUCUAUUUAUGGUAUAGUUCCUGGGUUGUUUACAUUAUUUGAUUUAGCUGUGUAUUCCAUAUUCAAGAGAAAUGUUUCAUGCGGAGUUUAAGCCU